rnacentral:rRNA from 1 species
GGAAUAUUGGACAAUGGGCGAAAGCCUGAUCCAGCAAUGCCGCGUGAGUGAUGAAGGCCUUAGGGUUGUAAAGCUCUUUUACCAGGGAUGAUAAUGACGGUAUCCGGAGAAGAAGCCCCGGCUAACUUCGUGCCAGCAGCCGCGGUAAUACGAAGGGGGCUAGCGUUGUUCGGAAUUACUGGGCGUAAAGCGCACGGAGGCGGGUUUGUAAGUAGAGGGUGAAAUCCCAGGGCUCAACCCUGGAACUGCCUUCUAAACUGCAAGCCUGGAGGUCAGGAGAGUCGAGUGGAAUACCGAGUGUAGAGGUGAAAUUCGUAGAUAUUCGGUGGAACACCAGUGGCGAAGGCGACUCGCUGGACUGAUACUGACGCUGAGGUGCGAAAGCGUGGGGAGCAAAC